rnacentral:lncRNA from 1 species
AGUGUGGCCGGAAGACGACUCGGGGCUGCUGCUGCUCUCGGGGCGCCGCCGCCGCUCUUUCUCCUCUGCUGCCGCCGCCGUCUCCCGGCAGCCGCCGCCGCCGCCGCUGUCCGAACUUGAAGUUGCCGGCGCGCCCGUUGCAGCCGCCGCCGCCGCCGCGGAGGUCGCCGUGGCCGCCGGGGGCCCCUUCUCGGCGCUCUUGUCCCCGGGGUAGUCGGAGGAGGCGAGGUUUUCCGGGGUGCCGUAGGCUGUCUCGAAAAACUGGUCGAAAGCCUGUGGCAGGACGCCGUUCCUGCCCACGGUGCUAUAGAAAUUGGACGAGACUGCGGGGGUGGGGUGGUGGUAGACGUUGGCCGAGCUCUUGGCCAGCACGUCGCCAGGCACGCCGGCCGCGCUGGGCGCCUGCAGGCAGUCUCUGUGCACGAGCUCCUCCGCGGAGUAGCAGUGGGCCAGAUUGCCGCGGGGGUGCCAUUUAGUGGCGGGCUCAAUGGCGUACUCUCUGAAGGUCACUUCGCGCACGGGUUGGACCUGGGGCAGGUUGGAGGAGUAGGAGUAUGUCAUUGGGCGCGAAGACGGGGUCUGGGGCAGAAAAGAAGGGAGGCUGGAGAAAUCUGGACCCGAGACGUAGUAAGUACAACUUGGCAAAUACAUGUUAGAGGAGCAGGGACCACGCUCAUCAAAAUCCAUUAUUGGGCUACCUUGGGCUCUCCGCAGUAGCCGAGCUUAACAUGAUUCUCCACUGCAGCUGCCUCUUUGAAGCGGAUCCGUGAAGUAGAAAUUUGGAGACGUAAGCUGACGUGGAAAUCUAUCCCCAUCCUUAGCAGGGAGGUGCUGGUCAUGUGACCCGAUGUUGAAAUUGACAAGCUGCUAGCUAGUCCGGGCCUUUUCCCCCCCCCUUUCCUUUUUUUUUUUUCCUCCUCUCCCCUCCCUCCCGGCUUCCUUUCUUUGUAGCCACCUCAGGGGAAGCAACAGAUCGUCACUCGGUGUUCUCACCGAAAGCACGUAAUCGCCGGUGUAACUCAUGUUGGCUGGGGGGCCUCCCGGCGCGCGCGGAGAGGCUGGGGUGCGCCCCCAUGCAGCAUGCUUGUGCUCAAUUGCAGGGUCCUCGUUCUCGAGUGUGCAGAGGGCGGUGAGAGCUCAACUCUCGUCCCCACCUCCCACCCGCAGCUCCCCGGGUGGGUGAGGGAUGCCCUGGACUGGGGAUAGCCAGGUGGGAGUCCGUCGCUGUGUGGCCUGUGGUCUCGGAGUCUGUUCUCCUGGAGUCUCGCAUUUGCACCCCCUUCUUCGCAGUCCCCCUCCCAUAGACUUGCUCUGGGAAGCGCCUCUGCCUCCGACCCUAGCCGGAACCCCUUCGGGGCCAGAGUUUGAAGCCGUGGAUGUGCCUGCCUGGUGGCUUGUCCGAUUUGCACGGUGACUUGAUUACACUCUCUCAUUCAUGGUCACUUCCGAAGCGCUUUAGUGCCUUCCGUCCCUAAACCGCCAACAGCCAGAACGGCUUCUCCCCGCGGUUUGUCACUGAUCCGCAGGGCCCGGAAGGGCCUUCGUCUUACCCGGGAUCCACCUCUCCCCUCAUCUUCCCUGCCUACCUCUUCAUCCCACCUUCUGUCCUUGGAGAAACUCCCUCCUCCUCGCUGCCUGCCGGGCUUCGGAGUGACUCGGCAGAGACAGAGGCACAGGGGCUGCCCUGCUGCUCACCGGUCCACCCAUCUGCCUGGUCUUCUGGAGCUGAGGACUCGGGAAACCAUGCAAUUGAGGCAAGCCUUGGGCUGCUUUAGAGGCGCUGACAUCCGAGGAGACUUCUCCUGGGAUUGAAGGAGCAAUGUUUGGAGGAAGCGAAAGAAAGGAGAGGACACAGAGCACAGAGCAGCCAGGCAGAGCCAGGAGCUGAGAAGGGCCCAGACCUGAGGCCUCCCAACAACUCUCUUCUUGGAAGGAUCUGGGAUGUUGCUGAAGGAAAAUAAAAAAAUAUGUAAAAAGAUAACCUUUUGUUUUUCCCUCUCCAGGAAAUAGCCAAAGUUAUUUACAUAUCUUGGGGAGAUUUAGAGUAUAAACUCUAAGAUCUUUGGUAUUUAAGUGUCAACAUCGAUUUAUUUAUUUAUUGCUGAGCUGACUGUAACUGACUCAAUAACAAAUCUAAUCGUGUAUUGCACUGGAAAAGAAAUAUUCUUAUUAUGUAUUUUCUCCAAAUAAUGGCCUACCAUUGCAUUUGAAUACCUGCUGUAAAUAUCAAUAAUAUGAAGUAAUUACUCUGUAGUCGAGUAAACUAAUUUAUUAGCAUUAAUGUUUAUGUGGCUCUCCACCUCCCCCCACCACCACCUUUACAAGGAUUGCUUAUCACAAAUCAAGCUACUUGGACACAUUGGUUUAAUGAACUCUUUAUUCAAGAUUUGCUACAAGAAUUUUCAUGUCCUUUGAAUCCCUGAGAACUGAACUUGAAAUUAUUUGUGCAUCUUCAGCUUGACAUAUUUGUCCACUGUGGCUUGUCCAGAGGGCAGCAGUGCUGUGAGUGAGAAGGUCCAGUGGGAAGGAAGGUUAUUGGAGAAGAGUAGCCUCAGACCUCCUAAAGCUGGGAAGCACAUUUACAGAAUUGCCCUGCAGCGAAAAAACUUCUAUUUCCAGCAGUGACCAACAAGGCAAAAUGUUUGUUUCUCCACAGCAUCUCUUUUUUAGAGACAGAAUAUAAAAGACAGAAGGAGAGGUUUCAAACAGCGGUAUUCGAGCUGUUCCCUGGCUUGAUUUUGGCUAUCCCAAGCUCUCUCUCUGCAGCCCACCCAGUCCACGCCACCCCUACCUUCGAACAAAAGGAAUGCAUGAAGGGUUUCAGUGACUUUGCCAUAACAAAGGCGCCACCAUUGCGGGGCUCGCCCCGCCCCUGGGUGAAGGCAAACAAAUUCUUGCACUUGUAUUAGGGCUUUUAAGACCAUAAUUGAACCCGGGGGCGUCUAGGAAAACCGAAAACAGUUCUAGACAGACCUGCGGUUUUAUAGCAGUUUUGGCAGUCAACUUCAGCUUGUGCCUGAGCAGACGGGGUUGUGGUGGCCCGCCAGCGGGGGAUGCCAGGCCACCUCCCCCAGCGGCACGCAGCCCCUCUCUUAAUUAGAUCGGUUUUCCCCUGGUGUCCGGGAGAGCGGUCCCGGCAGAAAGGUCGGUAUGGGGGUGUGCGCUGUUCCGCAUAACCACUGCCUCCCAUGUCCUCCUCGAGGGCCGAACCGAGAGGGUGCUGGCAGGGCUGGAUCCCACGGGUGUCCGCAGGAGACAAAGGCGAAUUCCGGAGAAAAGGCUGGGGCUGAGAAAGGCGCUCCGGGAGCGGCUGGCAGGGCAAUUCGGCAGGCUGCACCGAAGCCGAGUGCCCGGAGGGACUUGCCGCCCGGAAGGGGGUGUGUGGGGGCGCUGCCGUGAAGAUGGAUGAGGGAAAAGGUUUUUGAUAUCAGCAGAAGGGAAAACGCCUGGAGUGGCCGAACACUUUUAGUUGCCCAGCAGGAAUAGGAGACGGGUACUCAGCUCCCCAAGGCUGCGCAAUAUCCCAGCUUUGCCCGCUCCUGCCCUCGUGUUCGGAAUAUGCUGGCGGUGUGAAUGUGAAGGUUUCUCCAGGCAGGCGGCUGGGGCGAGGGGUGGGCGCAGCUCUGAGGAUCAGACCAAAUCUAGGGGAAAAAGGGGAGGCAGACCUUCGGGUCCUUGGUUUUGACUUUGCUCUGAGCCUAUGAUUGACUCUUCCGCUUUGCAGGAGGUCCAACAGCCGAGCUUAGCCCACCGGGCUCUGGGAAAGACCCGACUGAGGCUAAAGCCGCCCCGGAAGGCCAAGUCCGAGUUCCAUUUCUUGAAGAGGCCGGCGCGCGUAAGGCUGUGACAUUGGCCCUGGCGACUGGCUUCCCAGGAGCUGUUCUUUCUCAGGAGCUCCACAGCGCGGGCCAUCUCCAGAAAACUGUCUUCAGAGUGUAUUUCCUUUUAUCGUCAACCCAGAGCCCCACCGCGGCUAAUGCAAGAGGCCAAAAAAUGUUUGGAGGAAGAAAAACAAAGGCAGGAAGUGGCGGCGGCCUGACGGUGCGUGUGUGUCUGCAGAGAAGGGAGGGAGCCGGCUCAGUCUCUUCUUGUUUUUCCAAACUUCAAGGUCCAGGCAGCCCUCUGCAGGGCCGGGCCCCAUUGCUCCCCGCGCGGCAUUGGAGGUGGCCGCCCGGAGAGGAGAAGGCCAACGCCUGCGCCAGGCUUGUCAGGCGGAAACGGCUAACAAGGAGAUUUGGUCAGCAAAACAGACCCAGCCUUUCCGAGGCUUCGUCUGACUUGGCCCGAAAGGUUGGGGAGGGGGGGCUUGCGCAGAGCCUCAGGGACCCUCCUCUCUGGGGACUACCAUCCCUGAGCCUUACGCUUCUUUCCACAGCCUUUGCAGGCGGAAUAUCGGAAUAAAGUGGGUCCAGGCGCCUCUGCCGCCUCCGCUUCUUCUUGCAGCCUGAAUGGUCCGGGAGGCAGCGGGAGGGCGCCGGCGGGCAGUGCCCAGGCGGGGUCGCCUCGAGGCCGUCGGUGAGCACCGGGCAAUGCGAGGCCUUGUUACCGAGGUUGUUGUGCUGGGGGCGUUUCCAGCACAGUCAUUCAAGGGACGUGAGCUGCAAGGAUCGUCACUUGACAGGCGGCUUAACACCCUCUCACUCCAAGGGAGGAUACAGCUGGGUGGCCGGGAGCACCUCCACACUCCAGGCUUCCCAGCUCCAACUGGCAAAGCUGCUGGGCCACCCUCUUCUCUCCCUGGGGCUGGCUUGGGAGGCAGCAGCUGCUCCUUGUCCCAGAAAUCUGAGAAUUCGAAGUCCCCAGUACUUGCACAUGCAGCCCUUUAAAUGCCCAGCAUUUGUCCACAGUCUCAAUGUCAAUGCCAAGCUGCCCCAGUCACCACUGUCCUUCUCAAGGGGGUCCUGUCCCUCUACAGUUCCUGAUCCUGCUCCUGUCCCCCCUACAGUUCCUGUCUCCUGCCCUGCCUCCUUCCAGCCAUUCUCACCUGCUGGGACCUCCUGUCUCUUCCCUACCUCUUUUGAUGCCUCUGCUAGACUGAGCAACAGCUGAGGUGCCACUGGAGGGCAUCCAAUACUCAGGCGCAGAGAAGAGGGGCUGUUAGGUCCCUGACUCUCCCCCAACUUCGGGCUUCCACCAGAGCCUGAACUGAGUCUCCCACCUCCUUCUUAGGAAUACUCCACCUCAAGGCCCCACCAAGUCUGGCUUAUCUCCCUUCCUCUCCCCUCCCUUCUCUACCCUCCUUUCUUCCCCAACACUUCCUCCUUCUCUUCUGCGGACCCAGCUGCUGCUUUUCUAGGCUGGGCAACCCAGAUGGGAUAGGCCUGGGAGGGGUCAGGACCCACUUGACAGACUGAAUCUCACUCCCAGAUGGCUACAGUUAAGUUUCUCUCUUGGUGGAUUGCUUAGGGCACCAUCAUUAUUUUGCCUCCUCCUGCUUGCCUAAUCCCUUACUUUCCUCUGUCCACAAAUGUCACACUGUUUCUAGAAAGCUACACAGAAGAGUAUUUCAACCCUGGUGACCAUACUGCACACAGGUGCAAGAACUGGCCCGGAGGCCCCGGGUAGAAAUGGCAACAGAGCUCUUCUCCAUUACAGGAAUAUCUCCUUCCAAAUCAAAGGGUUCCUGUGGGCACAUCUGUCUUAUGUGGUGAGCUAGGGGAGAUGGGUUGUCUGGGAAGGCCCAGGAGAUCUCCACGUAUUUGUUCUCAGGGCAUGGCUUAUUGCCAGAUCAUAGACAAUCCAUCACAUUUUCCAGGCGCUGCCCAGAGGCAGCACUGAAGCUUCAAUUAAAAAAUCAAGAGAUCACCUCUAUCACUACCAGGUGGAGGCAGGGGUUAAUUUGUCCCUUUGUUGAGACACCUCACCCUCCCCGAAGGUCCCCAACACUUCCUAAAAGCUCAGAAACAGGUAAUGCCCUGAAGUGGACCUCAUAAUUCUGCUUGGUCUGACUGGCAGUUUCAGUCAUCCUUCAAAGCCCCUAAAUAUCUGAAAAGGCCCAUACCCUUCCCCUGGCCACUGCAGAGUGGGGCACAGGGCUCAGCUGAGGGUCUCAAGUACCUAAGCAAUCUAGUUAUCAUUUACUUUAGUGGAUCCCAAACUGAAGGGAGAAGAGAAGAUUACUUCCUUUAAUAACUAUUUUUAUUUUUAUUGUUGCCAAUUAUUAGACUUCUUUUUCCUAUAGCAUGGGAACAAAUGGGGUGGGGGAGACUUUGAAGGGCGAAGCCCUAGUUCUCAGUGUCUGCCUUCCAUUCCCCAUGCAGCUUUGGCCCAAACAGGUUUCCCAGCAGAGUGUGUCUGAGAUAAAGAAGACAAAAGGGGGUGGCCCAACCCGAAGGUUGGCUCUGGUCCUUGGGUCUCGGUCUCUACAGCCGUAGCUCACAGGAAGCCCCCACGCCACAAAGCUCCAACUGCUUCCUAGGGCAGCUCCAUUUCCACUCAGUGCUCAUGUUGGCUCACAUUCCAGGCUUGAGAAGAGCCAUCACCCCAUCCAGCCCUCCUCCCCUACACACCCUUCCAGGCAGUUCUGCGAUGGGACCCAUUCACAGAUCAUUGUUUCUGCUAUAUAUGCCCCCACAGCCCAGCCCAGCCCAUCCACGCAGCCCUAGGGGUACAAUCCAGAUUUUUGGCUUCCGCGAAAAGAAAUCCUUUGCAUGUCCUCUUUGGUUCACCUGGAGAGAUAGGCUCAGCGGCAGAUCACGCUUAAGCUAACGUUUACCGCAGGGCCUGAUGCUCUGAUCUGCUGGAGGCAGGCUAUAGGCAGGGGGUAAGGGGCUCUCUCCCUCGCAGAGCGCAGUGAAGGAUUCUUGGGGGCUGGGAGUCAGGAGUUUUUACCUUGGAAGAGUGCGCCUCACAUCUGUGUGGAUUUUAGGCAGGAGAAGAGCAUCAAGGGUCUCACCAAAGGCUUGCCACUCACUGAGGGAGAGGCCUGGAUUCUGGGACCCCAGGAGAGUCUCUCCAGCAGGGUCUUGGCUCCCCUAUCCUCUUCCCUGCCAAGUCGGCCCUAUGUUCCUACCAGGACCCAGAACUCCGAUCCAGCCACGUCCUUUCCCCUGGGCUUGCAGGCGCUCCCUCUCGCCCCCGCUAGGCCUUAGCGGGCUCCGAAGUCUGCUGGACUGGGGCAAACCCCGCUCUUCUGGGACGGGGACACGGCCUGGGCCACCCGUGGCUGCCGGGACUCCUUUCCAACAGGGCUGGGGAUGGGAGAGUUGGAAAUCAAGAAAGAACCUCUGCCUCCAGUGCACGAGCCCAGAGCCCAGGCUACCAGAACCCGCUUGCAGCAAGGUAACUGUGCGUCCUGUGCCUUCUUGAGGCGGCGGCAGCGAUCGGCCCUGACCAUAGAGGCGGCCGUGGCGCGGAGGACUUGACCUUUACGGCACGAGAGGAGGGCGCUGGCUGAGCCGCAGGGAGGGGGACGCUGCUCUCUCCAGCCUCCUCCACCCAAUAGCAGUCCGCUCGACCCACGCCAGCUGCGCGCUCACCCCCUUUCCCCCUCCAUUUUGUGCAGUGUCCGCAGACCCGCGGCCGGAAACAAAGCCCCCAGCCCUGCUCUCACCACCCUUCUUGCAAGCUGCUGUCGCCAACCCCCCAGACCAGAGGCUCAGAGCUAACGCUAAGCCCCUUAAGGCCCUCUCCAGGGCCCUCUUCUCUCGCCAGCCGCCCUCAGCCAGCUCCUGACCCCAGCCGCCCUCAGCCAGCUCCUGGGUACCACUCUGGGUGCCAACCGGGACCUGCCGGUGCCACGGUCCCGUGCGCCGGGUCCCGGCC